AGGGCGGCGAGCGGCGGACGGGUGAGUAAUGCCUGGGAAUUGCCCUGAUGUGGGGGAUAACCAUUGGAAACGAUGGCUAAUACCGCAUAAUCUCUUCGGAGCAAAGAGGGGGACCUUCGGGCCUCUCGCGUCAGGAUAUGCCCAGGUGGGAUUAGCUAGUUGGUGAGGUAAGGGCUCACCAAGGCGACGAUCCCUAGCUGGUCUGAGAGGAUGAUCAGCCACACUGGAACUGAGACACGGUCCAGACUCCUACGGGAGGCAGCAGUGGGGAAUAUUGCACAAUGGGCGCAAGCCUGAUGCAGCCAUGCCGCGUGUGUGAAGAAGGCCUUCGGGUUGUAAAGCACUUUCAGUAGGGAGGAAGGUGUUGUCGUUAAUAGCGGCAACAUUUGACGUUACCUACAGAAGAAGCACCGGCUAACUCCGUGCCAGCAGCCGCGGUAAUACGGAGGGUGCGAGCGUUAAUCGGA
rnacentral:rRNA from 1 species